AGUCUGUGAGCUGGGAGCCUGUUGGCAGGUCCCUCUUUUUAUUUUCGCUGAGAGCUUUCUUUUACUAAAUGCCACCAUCCUUACCUUUCAAGGUGUCUGCGUGCCUAAUUUUUCCUGGUUGUUAGACAAGAACCCGGAUUUUAGUUGAACUCUGGAGCAAAAAUCCUGCAUCAUUUGUAGGUAGUCGUACAGUGUCCAGAAGGCAAAAGGACAAGUAUGCACUGCCCUACUUACCUACUUUCCACACUGCUGCACAGGAAAAUCUGACAGAGGACAAUAACAAACAUCUCACCAGCUCAUGCGUUCUUUUUUGAUCCUAAUUCCGAGAGACUCACCAAAGACAUGAAGAGAAAACAAACAAUACUUUUCUUGGAAAUAUUGUAAUUGCUGGUACAUUUGUUGUUCUGGCAUAAAGUAGAAAUUGUCAGGUAAACAUUGCUUCCUUUUGGAUCAAAAAGAAAUUUAACCAAAUAAAUGCAAGAGGUAUGAGGGAAGAUAAUGGGAAAUAAAUGAGAUUUGAGAAAUCA
rnacentral:lncRNA from 1 species